AGGUUCAGGUUUUCGGAUAUCUCUGUGUGGACUAUUUGGGCGCUGUGUGCUUUAGAACACUUUCGUGAAGAGCCGGGGCUUCAGCAGGAGCGGCCAUGUGGCGCGGACGUGAGGCCUCCGGCUCCUGGCGGCUGAGCUUGGCGUUCCCCCGCCGGAGGGUGGGAGCGCCUGGGGGCCGAGUCCCCCAGCCCGCCUCAGGGGCCGCGGGGUGCCCUCUUCUCCCGACCGAGCCGCGUCUGCUGCCCCCGUCUCGCGCCUCCGCCAUCUUGGCUCUUUUGGGGCGAGGGUGAGGUCAGCGGGGGCGUGCUUGUGAGUUUUCCUGAGCAUUUCCAUCAUUGCUAGUCACAGGUCCUCAGAUCUCUAGGGAACCGCACUUGAUUCCCCCCCCCCCGUUUGUGGGAAGCUGGUUUUGUGCAAGGUGGGACGGAGCCGGCCCCUUGUGGGUGUUUGCUUGUGGGACAGAAAAUAAUACAUAAAGCUACCAAGGAAGAAGAGAGUCUCCAAGUGAAUUUCGGGAUUGUUUCUGCAAACCAGGUAUUCCUAAACACCGAGGGGCUCUUGCCAUCGUCCCAUCAGCUGGUAUCAAGUCACCAAGUCCCACCUCCAGCUCCUGCAACAUCCUCUGGGCAGGUAAUGACCAUGGCCAAGCAAGCAGUGGUACCACACUGAGCUCAUGGUCGCCUGGAUCCUGCGGUGUACAGUCGGGGCAGACCUGUCCUUGCACUCAACUCUAGAGAACUGACACUACAGGGCGACCUGGCCCACGAUGCCAUCUGCAGCUGCUGAAGGCCUGGCACUCGCAGUCCCUUCUGCAUGCACAUCCAUGACAGCGACCUGCCCUUCUGGCCCCUGAGCAUGCUCUGCUGUAUUUGCAGUGGGCCGCCUCACCUGGUCCUGCAGUGCCACCUGCAAGGGAGCCAGCUGGGCCGCACUGAACUCAUGCUGGGCCCAGCCCCACACACAAGGACAUCAUGGGUGGGCUGCUGUCCCACAGCGUGCCCCAGGAGGGGGUGGACGAGCAGCGAUCACACUCCUCAUCAAGCUGUACAGAGGGGCGCAGGAGGAACCAUCUGCAGGACUGCGGCAUGCCAAGGCCUGAGUUCAGAGGUGGGCAGGAGCCUGGGCUGCAGGAGCAACGGCAGGGGCCUGGCCGAUCACCAUCCUGUGUCCCCAUCCCUGGCCAGAGCCCAUGAGGAAGCUACAGAAAGAGCUGGCCUGUGUCCGUGGUCUGAAGCCCAGAGCGCCAGAGGGAAGGGAAACCCACUACCACCGCUGGGGUCACUGUAAAAGGGUUUUUUUAAUGCAUUAUUUUUACUUAAGAUUUUAGGCAUACGUGACACUGGUUUUAGCAGUCAUGUCUGCCUCUUCAAUACCAUUCCACUCGUGGCCCUGUCUGGCGUUUUGUC